rnacentral:rRNA from 1 species
UACGUAGGGUGCAAGCGUUAAUCGGAAUUACUGGGCGUAAAGCGUGCGCAGGCGGUGAUGUAAGACAGAUGUGAAAUCCCCGGGCUCAACCUGGGAACUGCAUUUGUGACUGCAUCGCUGGAGUGCGGCAGAGGGGAUGGAAUUCCGCGUGUAGCAGUGAAAUGCGUAGAUAUGCGGAGGAACACCGAUGGCGAAGGCAAUCCCCUGGGCCUGCACUGACGCUCAUGCACGAAAGCGUGGGAGCAACAGGAUUAGACUA